rnacentral:lncRNA from 1 species
CCAUGUACUAUUUUUCAAUGCCAUCCUACCAAAUAUUAGUGAUAUCCAUAAAAUCAAAUCUGCAUCCUGAUGUUGAAAUCUCUAGUUCAUUUUGGCUAUUACUGAGACUUGAUUUGUAUAUACCUGAAGCCACUGGAUCCCUUCUUGGCUUCUUUGUCUCUUAUAGAUUACUUGACAUUUUCUACUGUCUUUUUUUCUUUUUAUAUUAUAGUUGCUACUGUCUAAGGCAACAAUUCUCAAACUUCUUGAUCUCAAGAUCCUUUCAUACUCCUAAUGGGAGGACCCUAAAGUUUUUUAUACAAAAAGAGGAGGCUAUUGCAGCUAGAAGAGUAAUUCCAAGGAGAACAGUUACCUCAGCUUUAUGCACUCUUACUCAUCACCCUCGCUGUCUCAGCUAUCAGUCCUGACUCCUGAAAAAGCUGCAGAGCCUCAGGUUGGCUGAAGGGAUUUUCCUUGGCUUCCCACAGCAGCCAAAUUGCCAACUCUGUGCAUUACAGGUGAGAAACAGAGAAAUUUACAACUCAAUUGUUUUGGGUAGAGCAAUAAAAAAACAAACAAG